UACGUAGGGGGCAAGCGUUGUCCGGAUUCAUUGGGCGUAAAGAGCGUGUAGGCGGCCAGGUAGGUCGGUUGUGAAAACUGGAGGCUCAACCUUCAGACGUCGACCGAAACCAUCUGGCUAGAGUCCGGGAGAGGAGAGUGGAAUUCCUGGUGUAGCGGUGAAAUGCGCAGAUAUCAGGAAGAACACCCGUGGCGAAAGCGGCUCUCUGGAACGGUACUGACGCUGAUGCACGAAAGCGUGGGGAGCAAACAGG
rnacentral:rRNA from 1 species